AGUGAACGCUGGCGGUAGGCCUAACACAUGCAAGUCGAACGGCAGCACAGUAAGAGCUUGCUCUUACGGGUGGCGAGUGGCGGACGGGUGAGGAAUACAUCGGAAUCUACUUUUUCGUGGGGGAUAACGUAGGGAAACUUACGCUAAUACCGCAUACGACCUACGGGUGAAAGCAGGGGAUCUUCGGACCUUGCGCGAUUGAAUGAGCCGAUGUCGGAUUAGCUAGUUGGCGGGGUAAGGGCCCACCAAGGCGACGAUCCGUAGCUGGUCUGAGAGGAUGAUCAGCCACACUGGAACUGAGACACGGUCCAGACUCCUACGGGAGGCAGCAGUGGGGAAUAUUGGACAAUGGGCGCAAGCCUGAUCCAGCCAUACCGCAUGGGUGAAGAAGGCCUUCGGGUUGUAAAGCCCUUUUGUUGGGAAAGAAAAGCAGCAGGUUAAUACCCCGCUGUUCUGACGGUACCCAAAGAAUAAGCACCGGCUAACUUCGUG
rnacentral:rRNA from 1 species